rnacentral:rRNA from 1 species
AACGCUGGCGGCAGGCCUAACACAUGCAAGUCGAGCGGUAACAGGAAUUAGCUUGCUAAUUUGCUGACGAGCGGCGGACGGGUGAGUAAUGCUUGGGAAUAUGCCUUUUGGUGGGGGACAACAGUUGGAAACGACUGCUAAUACCGCAUAAUAUCUACGGAUCAAAGUAGGGGACCUUCGGGCCUUACGCCAAAAGAUUAGCCCAAGUGGGAUUAGCUAGUUGGUGAGGUAAUGGCUCACCAAGGCGACGAUCCCUAGCUGGUUUGAGAGGAUGAUCAGCCACACUGGAACUGAGACACGGUCCAGACUCCUACGGGAGGCAGCAGUGGGGAAUAUUGCACAAUGGGCGCAAGCCUGAUGCAGCCAUGCCGCGUGUGUGAAGAAGGCCCUAGGGUUGUAAAGCACUUUCAGCGAGGAGGAAAGGUUAGUAGUUAAUAGCUGCUAGCUGUGACGUUACUCGCAGAAGAAGCACCGGCUAACUUCGUGCCAGCAGCCGCGGUAAUACGAGGGGUGCAAGCGUUAAUCGGAAUUACUGGGCGUAAAGCGUACGCAGGCGGUUUGUUAAGCGAGAUGUGAAAGCCCCGGGCUCAACCUGGGAACUGCAUUUCGAACUGGCAGACUAGAGUAUGAUAGAGGGUGGUAGAAUUUCAGGUGUAGCGGUGAAAUGCGUAGAGAUCUGAAGGAAUACCGAUGGCGAAGGCAGCCACCUGGGUCAAUACUGACGCUCAUGUACGAAAGCGUGGGGAGCAAACGGGAUUAGAUACCCCGGUAGUCCACGCCGUAAACGAUGUCUACUAGCAGCUCGGGUCCUCGGACUUGUUUUGCAAAGCUAACGCAUUAAGUAGACCGCCUGGGGAGUACGGCCGCAAGGUUAAAACUCAAAUGAAUUGACGGGGGCCCGCACAAGCGGUGGAGCAUGUGGUUUAAUUCGAUGCAACGCGAAGAACCUUACCUACACUUGACAUCCAGAGAAAUCGCUAGAGAUAGCUUUGUGCCUUCGGGAACUCUGAGACAGGUGCUGCAUGGCUGUCGUCAGCUCGUGUUGUGAGAUGUUGGGUUAAGUCCCGCAACGAGCGCAACCACUAUCCUUAGUUGCCAGCCUUUAGUUGGGCACUCUAAGGAGACUGCCGGUGACAAACCGGAGGAAGGGUGGGGAUGACGUCAAGUCCUCAUGGCCCUUACGGGCUGGGCUACACACGUGCUACAAUGGCGG